GGGACUCGGCGGUGGGCGUGGCGGGCGGUCGCCGUGGUCACCACGGCUUUUCUCAGAGGUUUUAACGCCCCUAGACUUCAUUUCCCGACAGGGACUGCGGGUCUGGAUAUUCCGUCGUGGACUACGUUUCCCACUGACGACGGAGAAAACUUGGUCCUUUGGCUCCGCGCUGCGCGUGACCUGCAGUCACCUGAGCAAGAGGGCGGCGUGGGUCGCUGCGGGAGCCCCUACAGCCCCAGCCCGCAGCCCACGUGGCACCCUACAGGGCUGUGAGAGUGGGGCUGCUGGAGGCGUUCAGAGCGCGGAGGCCCCAGGCGCGGGCCGGGCUCUCUCCCGCCUCCUCAGGCCCGGGGGUGCUGGAGCUGCCGAGUGUCUUUGCUCAGUUCAAAAGCCACAGAAGAAGUUCUGGACGAUGUGGGCCUUCAAUCUUCUAAGAUGGGAAUAGAAAGAAGAGGAUCUACCCAGACCAGGACCCUGCUGCCCAAUCUCAGCUCUGGCUUUCUGGAUCUGUGCUUCUCUGGUAGAGGAACCCUGAGGACUGAUCUACUCUUGCAGUUCUAAAACCAUGGCCCAUGCCUCGCUAUUCCCUGGGACACAACAAUAUUGAACGUAGGCUAGUUAAUAGCCCUACAAUCUCCUCUAAGUGUUCGAGUGAAAGGAAGAGUCACAUGUGUCUCACUUUAAACCAAAAGCUAGAAAUGAUUAAACUUAGUGAGGAAAGCAUGUUGAAAGUCCAGACAGGCUGGAAGCGAGGUCUCCUGUGCCAAACAGCAGGCCAAGUUGCACAUGCAAAGGAAAUGUUCUCGAAGCAAAUUAAAAGUAUUACUCCAGUGAACACACAAUGACAAGAAAGCGAAACAGUUUUAUUGCUGAUGUGGAGAAAGUUUUAGUGGUCUGGAUAGAAGAUCAAACCAGCCACAACGUUCUGUUAAGCCUAAACCUAAUCCAGAGCAAGGCCCUAAUGCUCUUCAAUUCUAUGGAGGCUGAGAGUUGAGGAAGCUGUGGAAGAAAAGUUUGAAGCUAGCAGAGAAUAAUUCAUGAGGUUGAAAGAAAGAAGCUGUCUCCAGAACAUAAAAGUGCAAGGUGAAGCAGCAAGUGCUGAUGGAGAACCUCCAGCAUGUGAUCCAGAAGACCUAGCUGAAAUAACUGAUGAGGGUGACUGCAUUAAAUAACAAAUUUUCAUUGUAGACAAAACAGCCUUCUAUUCAAAGAAGAUGCCAUCUAGGACUUUCAUGGCUAGAGAGGAGUCAAUGGCCGGCUUCAAAGCUUCAAAGGAAAUGCCAUGUCUCCUGUUAGGGGCUAAUGCACCUAGUAACUUUAAGUCAAAGCUCAUGUGUAUUUACCGUAAUGAAAGUCCUAGGAUCCUAAAGAAGGGUGCUAAAUCUACUCUGCUUGUGCUCUAUAAGUAGAAGAACAAAGCCUAGAUGACAGCACAUCUCUUUAUAGCAUAGUUCACUGAAGAUUUUAAGCCCAAUAUUGAGACCCACUGCCAAGAAAGAUAGAUCAUUUUCAAAAUAUUACUGCUCACUGACAAUGUGCCUCAUCACCCAAGAGAUGUGAUGGAGAUGUAUAAGGAGAUUAAUGUGGUUUUCAUGCCUAUUAACACAACAUCCAUUCUUCAGCCAAUGAAUCAAGGAUUAAUUUUGACUUUCAAGUCUUAUUUAAGAAACACAUUUUGUAUGGCAAUAGCUGCCAUAGAUAGCAGUUCUUCUCAUGGAUCUAGGGAAAGUAAACUGAAAACCUUGUGGAAAAGAUUCAGCAUUCUAGAUGCAAUUAAGAAUACCUGUGAUUCAUGGGAAGAAGUCAGGUAUCAACAUGAACAGAAGUUUGGAAGAAGUUAAUUCCAACCCUCACGGAUGACUUUCAGAGGUUCAAGACUUCAGUGGAGGAAGUAACUGCUGCAGUUACUUGUGGUGGAAAUAACAAGAGAAAUAGAAUUAGAAGUGGAGCUUGAUGAUGUGACUGAAUUGCUGCAACCUCAUGAUCAAACUUGAAUGGAUUAAGAAUCUACUCCUGGUGAAGAUGCUUUGAACAUUGCUGAAAGGACAAGGAUAUUAAAAUAUUACAUUAAUUUAGUUGAUACAGCAGUGGCAGGGUUUGAGAAGAUUGACUCUAGUUUUGAAAGAAGUUCUAUUUGAGUAAAAUGCUAUCAAACAGCACCACAUGCUACAGAGACAUCUUUCAUGAAAGGGAGAGUGAACUGAUGCAGCAAACUUCUUUGUCUUAUUUUAAUAAAAUGUUAUACCCACCUCAACCUUUAGCACCCACCAGUCAGCAGCUAUCAAUAUCAAGGCAAGACCAUUCACCAACAACAAAAAAAAUGACAACUCGCUGAAGGCUCAGAUGAUCAUUAGCAAUUUUCAGCAAUAAAGUGUUUUUAAUUAAGGUA
rnacentral:lncRNA from 1 species